rnacentral:rRNA from 1 species
AGCCGCCGCGGUAAUACGAAGGGACCUAGCGUAGUUCGGAAUUACUGGGCUUAAAGAGUUCGUAGGUGGUUAAAAAAGUUGGUGGUGAAAUCCCAGAGCUUAACUCUGGAACUGCCAUCAAAACUUUUUAGCUAGAGUAUGAUAGAGGAAAGCAGAAUUUCUAGUGUAGAGGUGAAAUUCGUAGAUAUUAGAAAGAAUACCAAUUGCGAAGGCAGCUUUCUGGAUCAUUACUGACACUGAGGAACGAAAGCAUGGGUAGCGAAGAGGAUUAGAUACCCUCGUAGUCCAUGCCGUAAACGAUGUGUGUUAGACGUUGGAAAUUUAUUUUCAGUGUCGCAGCGAAAGCGAUAAACACACCGCCUGGGGAGUACGACCGCAAGGUUAAAACUCAAAUGAAUUGACGGGGACCCGCACAAGUAGUGGAGCAUGUGGUUUAAUUCGAAGAUACGCGCAGAACCUUACCAACACUUGACAUGUUCGUCGCGACUCUAAGAGAUUAGAGUUUUCGGUUCGGCCGGACGAAACACAGGUGCUGCAUGGCUGUCGUCAGCUCGUGUCGUGAGAUGUUGGGUUAAGUCCCGCAACGAGCGCAACCCUCACUUUUAGCUGCCAUCAUUUAGUUGGGCACUCUGAAAGAACUGCCAGUGAUAAGCUGGAGGAAGGUGGGGAUGACGUCAAGUCCUCAUGGCCCUUACGUGUUGGGCUACACACGUGCUACAAUGGUAUCUACAACAGGAAGCAAAACUGCGAAGUUAAGCAAAUCCUUAAAAGAUACCUCAGUUCGGAUUGCACUCUGCAACUCGAGUGCAUGAAGCUGGAAUUACUAGUAAUCGUGGAUCAGCGUGCCACGGUGAAUGCGUUCCCGGGUCUUGUACACACCGCCCGUCACACCAUGGGAGUUGGUUCUACCUUAAGGCAAGGUUUAAAACCCUUGACCACGGUAUAGUCAGCGACUGGGGUGAAGUCGUAACAAGGUAGCCG